UACGUAGGGUGCAAGCGUUAAUCGGAAUUACUGGGCGUAAAGCGUGCGCAGGCGGUCCGCUAAGACAGAUGUGAAAUCCCCGGGCUUAACCUGGGAACUGCAUUUGUGACUGGCGGGCUAGAGUAUGGCAGAGGGGGGUAGAAUUCCACGUGUAGCAGUGAAAUGCGUAGAGAUGUGGAGGAAUACCGAUGGCGAAGGCAGCCCCCUGGGCCAAUACUGACGCUCAUGCACGAAAGCGUGGUGAGCAAACAGG
rnacentral:rRNA from 1 species